rnacentral:rRNA from 1 species
AUGAACGCUAGCGACAGGCCUAACACAUGCAAGUCGAGGGGCAGCACAAGGAGCAAUCUGAGGUGGCGACCGGCGCACGGGUGAGUAACACGUAUGCAACCUGCCUGUAAGCGGGGAAUAACCCGUUGAAAGACGGACUAAUACCGCAUAAUACUAAAUUACUGCAUGGUAAUUUAUUUAAACAUUUAUGGCUUACAGAUGGGCAUGCGCAUGAUUAGCUAGUUGGAGAGGUAACGGCUCCCCAAGGCAACGAUCAUUAGGGGUUCUGAGAGGAAGGUCCCCCACACUGGUACUGAGACACGGACCAGACUCCUACGGGAGGCAGCAGUGAGGAAUAUUGGUCAAUGGACGAGAGUCUGAACCAGCCAAGUCGCGUGCAGGAAGAAUGUCCUAUGGAUUGUAAACUGCUUUUGCAGGAGAAUAAAGUGCAUCACGUGUGAUGUUUUGUAUGUACUCUGCGAAUAAGGAUCGGCUAACUCCGUGCCAGCAGCUGC